UUCACGACCCUGCCUCCCAAAAUCCCAAUCCCAUCUCGACUCCAGCGCACCGCCACCUCUUGCCCCGCCCCGCCCCGCCGGCGCUCCGCCUCCCGUCGCCGCACGCCGUUCCCCUCCCUCGCCGCGCCGCCGGACCGCCUACCAUCGUCGCACGCUGCCAUGGCCUACCCUGCCGCCGCGCCUACCCCUACCGCAACUGCCCCCACACCCGCGCCCAUCACCGGCAUCCAUACGCGCGACCUGUUUCUCCGUCGCCGGGCGGCUGCAGGAGGUGGCCGGCGUCGCCCCGUCAUCAAAUCCCCUAGCCACUCGAUCUCAUCCGCCGCAUGCUGGCUUCACGUACAGGAUUGACACGCCCUAUAUCCGGCGACCCGCGGCUACUCCUCCCAGCCCCGGAUCUGCUCUCCCGCCACCUGCGACCCACGGCUUCAAUGAUCCAUGCCAAGGGAUGACGACCAACUCGUCUGCCCCCUUCCCCGUGCAGCUGCCUCUGAGGCUGCAGCAGCCUUCGCACGAGGCCACUACGGCGCCACCUAUGCUGUCCUGAAGUUCCGUCAGAUUCGUCAAUUUCAGUUUCAUCAGUUUUCGUCAGAUUAAGUUUCAUCAGAUUCAGAAAAUUCAGUUUCGUCAAAGUUUCAGUUGUCAGUUAAUUUCUCGCGCACGUUGGCGCUCGGCGCUCGACGUCGUCCACUUCCUCACAUCACUCGAGCCCAAGUGCGUGCAAGUUACACCAGCCUUUGAUUUAUAUAUCUACCGUCCACCGAUCAGUGACACGAAAAGGUUGGGCGCUCUGAGCUAGAACAUAAGCUGAUUGAUGAGAUGAAUUAAAAUGCUUCUGAUUGGUUAGGCCCUCAAUAUUCCAAACUGAAGUCCAAGGAGGAAGGAUCAGGAAUAGCAGAUUUCCAAUGGACGCUGGUGUUGUUGGCUGACAUCUCCGGGGCUGUACAUCAUGAUGGUUACCAAGACACGACAACGAUCUAAAUGCUACAGACCUGAAUGAGAUAACAUGACUGCAGGCCGUUGCUGAUUUGCGUUCGAAGAGGUGCAACAACCAGAUAGAAGCAACUGAGGCUAUGCUUUUAACUCAACCAAAUCUGCAUUGUUAGUUGCUCUUAUAGUCUGUUUGUAGCUAAUUGGGGGACAAACAUGGGCAAUGAGCAGCUUAUUUUGAUGACAGUGCAAUCAAGGACUCACAUGUUCACUGAUGAAUCUACCUCUAUUUGGUACUGUGUAUAUACAUGAAAAUAGUAGCAUCGUCUUUGCAUGGUUCUUUUCCGAAUCAGCAACACUUUAUGAGGGUCUUCAUCGGCAAUGUACAUAGUGAUGCUUAACUGCUGGUUUGAAUUAUUUGGAUGCUUCAGUUGUCAGACAUGUAUGUGCAGAGAGUUGAAGCUUUGAAAUUACAUAAUAUAUCUAA